rnacentral:rRNA from 1 species
UACGUAGGGCGCGAGCGUUGUCCGGAAUUAUUGGGCGUAAAGAGCUCGUAGGCGGCCUGUUGCGUCCGCUGUGAAAUCCCGGGGCUCAACCCUGGGCGUGCAGUGGAUACGGGCAGGCUGGAGGCAGGCAGGGGAGAACGGAAUUCCCGGUGUAGCGGUGGAAUGCGCAGAUAUCAGGAGGAACACCGGUGGCGAAGGCGGGUCUCUGGGCAGUAACUGACGCUGAGGAGCGAAAGCGUGGGGAGCGAACAGG